UACGGGGGGGCAAGCGUUGUUCGGAAUUACUGGGCGUAAAGGGCUCGUAGGCGGCCAACUAAGUCAGACGUGAAAUCCCCAGGCUCAACCUGGGAACUGCAUCCGAUACUGGAUGGCUUGAAUUCGGGAGAGGGAUGCAGAAUUCCAGGUGUAGCGGUGAAAUGCGUAGAUAUCUGGAGGAAUACCGGUGGCGAAGGCGGCAUCCUGGACCGACAUUGACGCUGAGGAGCGAAAGCCAGGGGAGCAAACGGG
rnacentral:rRNA from 1 species